CAACACUCAAAGCUAAUUCCUCCUUCUUUGCCCUUGCCAUUGACCUCAUUUACAGAGAUGAAAGAAGUGAAAACAAUUAGCUCACCGGGAAAUUCUAUUAUGUAGAAGGGAGGUGGACGUUUGAUCAAUACUUGGGGGUUACGGUCUCAGCUGGAAGGGCAGAUUUUUGUCUCUCAGAUGGAGCGAUGCCCAUUAGUCUCAGACGGCUUUGCAAGUAUUUCAGCCACUCUGCCUCCAGCGGCUGAUCUGUUUGAAGGCUGAGGGUAUAGGGGAAAAGCUGCUGGACUUCAAGGACACGAUGAAAUUUGGACAGCUUCCCCAGGCAGCACAUCUGCAGAGGUACGUGGUUACUGUGCUGUGCUGCAGCCCAGAGCACCCUCAGCUGUGACUUCCACUUCAUCUCCCUCAGUUGAACUACUGGCAGCUACGGAAGGCUAAUAAUGAGCAGGUUGCCAUAAGUUUUUUAAAAAAGUGGCAGGAAACAUCUUAAUGCAACUGUCAG
rnacentral:lncRNA from 1 species